ACCUGCCUCUGCCUCCCGAUAAAGGUGUGCAUCACCACGCCCGGCUAUUUCAUUCUUUAUAAUCCUAAGUAUAGAGAGGCAAUAGCCACCAAGUGAUGUUUAAAUCAUGCUGCACUGUGACUGAUGUUUCAGAUUGGAUCUUCUCUCUCUCUCAUAAACAUCUCUGAAUUUUAUUCCUUUUUGAAAGUGUGAGAAUAUUUCUAGAGGGGUUUAAGUAAGGCAGGGUUUGAGUAGGGAAGACCCAGUCUAAAUGUGCUGUUAUCCCAUCAGCUUGGGUCUUGGUCUGAAGAAAAGGAGGGGACACUGCUGUUUUCUCCCAGUUCAGGAUAGUCAACACAGAUGACCAGCUGCCUGUUGCCCCUGUCCCAUGCCUUCCUUGAAUAAUGACCUGCACCCUUGGACUUGAACUAAUUACCCCCUCCCAACUUUUUGUUUGCUUUGAAGAUGGUCUCAUUGUGUGGCCCAGCUGGCUUGCAACUGAGAGAUCUGCCUUCCUUUGCCUCCAGAAUGUUAGUAUUAAAGAUGUGGACUACCAUUGGCCCUUUCCCCUCUUAACUGCUUGUUGACAGGAGACUUGAUUGCAGCAGUGAGGAAACUAACAAAUCCAUCUGAACACUGAUUUUGGCGUGUAGGAAUUAGACUCUUUACUUUCCUUUGUCUUCAGUGCUCUGCUUUCAUUAGCAUAUGGACAAUAGUUACUGGAACUGUGGAGUUUUCAGAAGCUUACAGUAUUCUGUCUCAACUGAAAAUUUGGUAGAGAACCAGGGGUUAUGGUGCACAUCUUUGAUCCCAGUGUUCCUAUAGGCAGAGGCAGGCAGAUCUGAGUUGGAGGCUGUCUUAGGGCUUUACUGCUGUGAACAAAUACUGUGACCAAGGCAACUCUUAAAAGGACAACAUUUAAUUAGGGCUAGCUUACAGGUUCAGAGGUUCAGUCCAUUAUCAUCAAGGUGGGAAACAUGGCAGCAUCCAGGAAGGCAUGGUUCAGGAGGAGCUGAGAGUUCUACAUCUUCAUCUGAAAGCUGCUAGCAGAAUAUUGGCUUCCAGGCAGCUAGGAUGAGGGUAUUAAAACCCACACCCACAGUUGACACACCUAUUCCAGCAGACCACACCUCCAAAUAGUGCCACUCCCUGGGCCAAGAAUAUAUAAACCAUCACAGAGGCCACUCUAAGUCUACCUAGAGUCCCAGGUUAGUCAGGGUUGCAAAGUGAGACCCCAAAAGAACCUCACCCCUACCCACCCACCCCACAAAACCUUGACAAGAGUGGUUUAAUGACAGGGGUGUGAGUAACAUGCAAACAUACUUAAUCCUUUAUAUAAGGUCUGUAGCAGAGGAAGGGAGGAUCUUGAGUGUGAGGCAGUCUGAGUGAGCAAUAUAUUGAGAACGUAUCAAAACUG
rnacentral:lncRNA from 1 species